rnacentral:rRNA from 1 species
GACGAACGCUGGCGGCGUGGAUUAGGCAUGCAAGUCGAACGGUAUCAUCCUUUCGGGGGUGAGAGAGUGGCGAACUGGUGAGUAACACGUAGGUUAUCUACCCUCAAGACGGGGACAACCCAGGGAAACUUGGGCUAAUACCGGAUGUGAGCAACUUUUAGUUGUUUGAAAGGUGGCGUAAGCUGUCGCUUGGGGAUGAGCCUGCGUCCUAUUAGUUAGUUGGUGAGGUAACGGCUCACCUAGGCAAUGAUAGGUAGGCGGCCUUAACGGGUGGUCGCCCACACUGGGAUUGAGAUACGGCCCAGACUCCUACGGGAGGCAGCAGUCGAGAAUAGUCUACAAUGGUCGGAAGACUGAUAGUGCGACGCCGCGUGAACGAUGAAUCCCUUCGGGGUGUAAAGUUCUUUUAUAUGUGAGCAGUGCUUCUUAUAUUAACAGUAUGGGGAGAGAGAUAUUAGCAUAUGAAUAAGCAACGGCUAACUCCGUGCCAGCAGCCGGACGUAA